rnacentral:rRNA from 1 species
UACGUAGGGUGCGAGCGUUAAUCGGAAUUACUGGGCGUAAAGCGCGCGUAGGUGGUUCAGUAAGUUGGAAGUGAAAUCCCCGGGCUCAACCUGGGAACUGCAUUUGUGACUGCAAGGCUAGAGUACGGCAGAGGGGGAUGGAAUUCCGCGUGUAGCAGUGAAAUGCGUAGAUAUGCGGAGGAACACCAAUGGCGAAGGCAAUCCCCUGGGCCUGUACUGACGCUCAUGCACGAAAGCAUGGGGAGCAAACAGG